rnacentral:rRNA from 1 species
CAGUCGCCGCGGUAAUACGGAGGGGGCUAGCGUUGUUCGGAAUUACUGGGCGUAAAGCGCACAUAGGCGGCUUGGUAAGUUAGAGGUGAAAGCCUGGAGCUCAAUUCCAGAAUUGCCUUUAAGACUGCCGAGCUAGCAGGUGAGAGAGGUAAGCGGAAUUCCGAGUGUAGAGGUGAAAUUCGUAGAGAUCGGAAGGAACAUCUGUGGCGAAGGCGACUAUCUGGGCCAACACUGACACUGAGGCACGAAAGCGUGGGGAGCAAACAGGAUUAGAUACCCCUGUAGUCCCUGUCUCUUAUAC